rnacentral:rRNA from 1 species
CCUACGGGCGGCUGCAGUAAGGAAUAUUGGUCAAUGGGCGCAAGCCUGAACCAGCCAUGCCGCGUGAAGGAUGACGGCCCUAUGGGUUGUAAACUUCUUUUGUACGGGAAAAAACCUCUGGUCGUGAAUCAGAGCUGAUGGUACCGUAAGAAUAAGCAUCGGCUAACUCCGUGCCAGCAGCCGCGGUAAUACGGAGGAUGCAAGCGUUAUCCGGAUUCAGGGGGUUUAAAGGGUAUGAUGGGGGAGUGAUGAAAGCCUACAGCUUAACUGUAGAACUGCCAUUGAUACUGUUAUUGUUGAGUGUUGUUGAGGUAGGCGGAAUGUGUCAUGUAGCGGUGAAAUGCUUAGAUAUGACACAGAACACCGAUCGCGAAGGCAGCUUACCAAGCAACAACUGACGCUCAUGCACGAAAGCGUGGGGAUCAAACAGGAUUAGAUACCCGGGUGGUC